AUGACCCCGAAGCUUGAGGCCAUACCAAUGAUCCUAGACUUUACGAAGUACUUCCUGGCUGUGCCGACGGAGUUCAAGGUCAAGACAAACACCGGUUGCUCAUGGAGGGUCACUAUCCGGCUGAUUAACGGCAGGGUCACCCUCGAUCAGGGUUGGGCCACCUUCAUCGUCGUCCACCAGAUCAAGAUCAGGUACAUAGUGACCUUCAACUUGCCGACUCCCAACACGUUCAAGGUCAUGUCUUCAAUGACGACGGCCGCCGCGCUCACCCAGGAUCCGCGCAAUAGAAGGCUGUCGCGCUCACCCCGGCCAUAUCCAUGCCUACACGCACCAGCGCGCCCAGCCACCCCUCGUCGCCACAGCCAUGCGGCCCUCUGCACCUCCAUGAGCCACGGCCGCCACCCCACUGCUCCGCUGACCCCGCCGCCGCACACACAGCCGGGACCUCGAGAUCCGCUCGAACCUCGUCGCCAAACGGCCCCACCGUCGCCGACGCUGCCCGGGCUUUGCCCGACGACGCCCUUUGGCGGCGGUGAGGGGAGAGAGGGAGAAGGAGGGCCCUAG
rnacentral:rRNA from 1 species